rnacentral:lncRNA from 1 species
GGAGAUCGUGGCAGUGGUGUGGAACACUGAAUGUCCGAAAAGGUCUAGUAAAAUCAGAUCCUCCAGCACUGAAGUCUAGAUCUCUGUGCGAGGUGGCUGGUUUAGUUGAACCGUCUUUGGUGCACGUUUCCUCAUCCCUCCCGCCCGCCUCUCUCCUAGGCAACAUCUCUCCCAGAUCCAGCGGAGAUGGAGACCUCUCCCCGCCCCCAAGGGGCAGAGGAUGGAGGCGCGAGCUUCUCCAGAACCCGCAGAUCCCUUCCUGGGAGCACCCCAGGCCCUAGAAAGACCGGGGGAAGCGGUGGUGGUGGUGAGGGUUCGAGGCACAAUCCUUCCCUGCAGCCCGCCUGGAUCUUGGCAUCUUUGCAAAUCCUUAAAUAAACAACAACAAAAAAA